UGGUGCUCCAGGAAAUAGAGAAUGGGCAGAGUUCCCGUCCUGUGGAGCCUACAGUCAGAAAAAUCCUCUACACACCAAGAAGGCUGGCAGAGGAGCAGUUGAUCCACAGUGGGAGCCCAGAGAGGGAAGCUUGAUUUCCCUGCUUGUAAAAGGAACAUAAUGAGACUGAAGUCCUAUAAAGCAUGCAGUUCUGGGGGGAAUAAAUGCUGGACAAGAGGGUGGUUGAUUAAAGUGGUGCCUCCCAAACAGACCGUCCUGUCUCCAGUGAAGCAGAGGAGAAGUGCAGUUGGUGAGCAGUGUUAAAAACCAGGUCCCAACCAGACGAACCAGAUACUCCUCGAUGUUUGAGUCCUCUCAUGAUCCUGCAAUGAUACUUUUUCAGCACAGAAGCAGAAAUGCUGAUACAGCACGAGAGGGGCUCCACACGCAGCUGAUGGAUCUUCUGGAAGCAUUACAAGGCCUCUUCCAUCAGUUGUACCCACCUUUUGUCUUGGAGAACAGGCGGAAUAUUUAAAGGAGAGCUUAGAAAGUCUGUAAACCCACCUCCCAUCCAGUGGCCACUUCCAAACCAGGGCUGAACAUGCCAAGCCAAAAGGAGAGGGCAGGAUGCUCUGGGACACAGACAGGACACAGACACACAGGAUUUCCUCCCUGCUGCCAACUCAGCCCCUAACAAUCAGUUAGUUUUCCUGGAUAUAUUUUUAGAAAGAAGCGGAAGGAGGGAAACCUUUCCUGCAACUUUCAUUUCUGGAAUGAAGUAAUUGCUGGAUCUUAUUUCUGGAACAACAGUUCUGCCUCCUAAGAAGUGAGCACAUUGGGAAUGGCUGAAGCCGUGGGAGGAAGAGUCUGAACAUGCCAUGCAAAGUAUCACAUCUUCCAGUUGGUCAAAGGGACACUGAGAAAUGCCACAGUGCUGGAAUGCCAUGGAUCUGUGGAAAAACCUGGAAAGAAGCUGAGGAAGAGCAGAGAUACCAGACAGCCUGGAAGAUGGGAUACCAUGGAAAUUUGAAGAGGAGUGCUUGGACUGUGUGAGAAGCCUGGCAAGAGCAUGAAUUUGCUGGAAAUGCAGGAGAUGUAUGCACAGUAUUCAGUUCUUUUGUCAUUUAAUCCCAAAUCAUUCCAUGUUUUCCAUUCUUCAGAAAGCCCUCUUUCUCAUGUUGCCUGGAUUAUAUGAGGCUUUUGGCCCUCAGUGAGAAACAACUGUACUGGUUCUUCAGGUCACAGAGAAAAGCUUAGCACAGACAAUCCAGCUGGGAAAGCUGAAAGCCUUUGGGAUGAUGUGUGGGGCUCCCAGUGCUAUCCCUGUGUUACUUUACUAGAAGUCACCAAGACCCAGUCUGAGCUGCCACACGUAUUUGGGUUUUCAGGCCAUGCAUUCUACCUAAAAUGUGGUAAUCUGUGGGAGGAAGAUGGAACAGCCCAGAAAUGGCAUCAUUUUGACACAUGGAAGACAGUGAUUCAGUCAUUUCACAGGUACAUGGACUGCUGCAAAUAUGCAGCUCAUAAAAACCCUGACAGUGUUUGAAGAAGCAGUCUGACAGUGUCAGUCCCCUCGUCAUCCUGCCAACUGGCCAGUCUGUUUUCCAUGUAAGCCAAGGGCUCAUGGAACAGGUGAGCACUUGGUUGGCCUGAGGAAAUAUCCCUGUCUUUGUGCAUGAACCUCUAAUGACAUUUCUUGAUGUGGCCUUGUUCUGUGAGUGAGGAGAGGACCUCAGUCUCUGAGGAUGCUAAUCCAGCACUUCUUGCUGACCUUACACUGACCUACAUAAUUUAAACCAAGCUGAUGCACAAGCGACACAGUUUCUGCUGAGAAAGUGCAAUAUGUGCCAACAUGUUAAUAGUACUUUUUUUUUCCCCUGUCUGUUUAAUCCAGUAUCUGAUGUGAAUGGAGGGAAAAAAUGAUGUGCAACGUAUUCCUUGCACCAAAGCCUUAGAAAAGAAAAUGUAAAUGCACGAGUAUGACACGAACUCCCUCUCUGCGAACACGCGCUCACAGACUGGGAGCUGCCAAAGCACAGUGAGCCAACCUACAGUGUGUAUGUGAUCUACUGAAGGGAGGGGACAGGCCUAAUUUAUGCACUUGGCCCUCAGAGUAGGGCUUACCUCAAUGCUUGUCAAUGCACAGAUUCUGUAAAUCUUUCUGGGAGAAGGAAUGUCAGCUCCCACCAGGCUCUGGGCACGCCGAAAAUGUCGCUCGUGUAGAUGAUGACUUGUGUUCAAUUUGCUGCAGUGGAUGGGCCUGAACCAAACUCUCUUUCUUGUUCCAAACAUCUCUAAAUUUAGGAGUUUUUGGCAACCCAGUCCAGAUAUGAGUCAAUAGUUCUCUGUGUUCCAAAGGAUAAGUAUUAGGCUGCAAAGGUGGGAGCUGUUAUGUAAAUGGGAUAAUAUAAAGGAAUAUCUGUAUUAAUACCUUUGUUAUGCUCAGAGUUAGAGGUUUGCCAAGGCUUAAGUGGACUCAUGAUGGGCUGGACACAUCCAAUUAAUAUAAGUAAUGUGAUUUUUCUUGAACAAAUGUGACUUCUUGGUGCACAUUACAGCUGCUGAGUGUUCCAGCUCUGCUGCAUCUGGUCCUUGGAGGGUUACAAAUGUGUAAUCUGGUGCUGAAGCUGCUCUUAUUUCUGCAUUUGUUUGGUAUUCAAUAAAUGGGUUUGAUUUUCAGUGCUUCUGUCAGGGAAGUAAAAAAUAUUGGGGUCUGUGUUACUGAUGGAUAUAAAAGCCCCAGGGGAAAAAACCCACAGAAUAUGAAAUUAAGAAUGAUGUGUCCACAUGCAAAAUAAGUGCACUGGACCUCCCAUCUCCUUCCUAAUGUCACUGCUGUGUUCAAAGAUUCUACAUCAAGUAAAAUUCUUCCAAGGCUUCUCUCAGUGAA